GCGUUGUCCGGAAUUAUUGGGCGUAAAGAGCUCGUAGGUGGUUCGUCACGUCGGAUGUGAAAAUCUGGGGCUCAACCCCAGACCUGCAUUCGAUACGGGCGAGCUAGAGUUUGGUAGGGGAGACUGGAAUUCCUGGUGUAGCGGUGGAAUGCGCAGAUAUCAGGAGGAACACCAAUGGCGAAGGCAGGUCUCUGGGCCAAUACUGACACUGAGGAGCGAAAGCGCG
rnacentral:rRNA from 1 species